rnacentral:lncRNA from 1 species
UUAGGAAGAGAAGGAGGAAGGGAGGAAGGGGGAAGAGGUAGUUAGGAAGAGAAGGAGGAAGGGAGGAAGGGAAGGAAGGAGGAAGGGGGAAGAGGUAGUUAGGAAGAGAAGGAGGAAGGGGGAAGAGGUAGUUAGGAAGAGAAGGAGGAAGGGAGGAAAGGGGAAAGAGGUAGUUAGGAAGACAAGGAGGAAGGGAGGAAGGGGGAAGGGGGAAGAGGUAGUUAGGAAGAGAAG